rnacentral:rRNA from 1 species
GACGAACGCUGGCGGCGUGCUUAACACAUGCAAGUCGAACGAGACGAUUGAAAGCUUGCUUUUGAAAGUCGAGUGGCAAACGGGUGAGUAACGCGUAGACAACCUGCCUUUGAGAUGGGGACAACAGUCCGAAAGGACUGCUAAUACCGAAUGUUGUAGAACUUCCGCAUGGGAGCUCCACCAAAGAUGACCUCUUCGGAGCUUUCGCUGAAGGAGGGGCUUGCGUCUGAUUAGCUAGUUGGAGGGGUAACGGCCCACCAAGGCGACGAUCAGUAGCCGGUCUGAGAGGAUGAACGGCCACAUUGGGACUGAGACACGGCCCAGACUCCUACGGGAGCAGCAGUGGGGAAUCUUCCGCAAUGGACGAAAGUCUGACGGAGCAAGCCGCGUGAACGAUGACGGCCUUCGGG